rnacentral:lncRNA from 1 species
AGAGAGUUCAAGCUUGAGAGGUAUGGGUGAGAUGCGCACGUGACCCCACUCCUCUUCCAGAGAUGAGCAUUUUUCCCAGCUCCUUGUCCCAGUUGUGAAUCCUUCUCAGUGCUAAGGGCCUAAGAACCAAGCCCUUCCCU